GGGUAUGUUUUAAGGAUUUUUUCGCAUGAGCGCAGCUGUUGCGAUAAAUUGACCGAUUGGGAGGUGGUAGAAGCACUGAAUGAAGGUGAGGCUUUUUUUUUUUUUUUUUCCAAUUUUCUUAUACAUUUUUCUUCCUUAAAAAAAAUAUAUAUAUAUAUAUAUGCUUUUGCUUUUUUUUUUUUUUUUUGGGGCUUCUGUUUGCUUUUGACUUUUACUUAAAACCCUUUUACAUUUCCACUUUAAAUGCCUAUUGUUCAUUGGGAGAAGGAAAGAAACUUUUGUAUGUCUGACACAGUCCCAAGAUUUUUGAUUUCUCUGCAUAACUGUAAAAGGCAACAUUAUUGGCCUCCAACUUUUUUUUUUUUUUUUUUUUUUUUUUUUUUGAGAGGGAGUCUCCUAUCACCAGGCUGGAGUGUAGUGGGUCGAUCUUGGCUCACUGCAACCUCCGCCUCCCGGGUUCAAGCGAUUCUCUUGCCUCAGCCUCCCGAGUAGCUAGGACUACAGGCAUGCGCCACCACAUCCAGCUAAUUUUUGUACUACAACCUUCUUAUAGGCAGAUUUGGACCGAUCUUCUCCUUUGGAUGUGUCAGAUCAUCCUAAAUUUUAGAAGCAGUUGAUUCACUUUGGAAUUCAGAAUGAUUCUUGUAUUAGAAGAUCAUUUGGGGGUAUUAAUUUUUGUUUAAGUUUAGAAUAAAAGUAAAGAUUCCUUUUGGGUAUCAGUUGAAACCCUUUAGUAACUCAAUUUCUGUUGUUCUUAUUUCCUUUAAAUACACUUGUUCUUGGCUUUCACCUUUUUGAUUCUGUGAAGUAGGCAGGAGCAGGGAUUAAUUUAUUCAGUAUUCCUGUUCUGAAGAAAACCAGAAAAGUCACUGUAUAAACUUGACUUAAAAUAGUAUCUUUCUCUUUUCAUGUAUUUUCAUUUGGGGGAAAAAAAUCUCUUUAAUUGUAACCUGAAUUCGAGCUGUACCCCUCCAUGGUCCUACACUUGAGCUAAUCUGGUUGGGUAGAAAGGCAGAAGAAUGGUAUAUUGUCCCAUUGUGCCUAUAAUGUAUUUUAAAUUGGUCAUUCCACCUUACUUAAUGGAAAAUCUUGCAGUUUUCCUAGUGCUCAUCAGCAGUUUUAGGUAUUCACUAACACCCCGAAAUUUUUUUUUUUUCCUUUUUCUCUGUGAUAUCAUGAGCCUGUAAGGACAAAUGGCAUAUUUGGGUAUAACUGCUUGACUCUGUAACUACUUUUAAAAAUCAAUAUCUAAAAGGUAUUAAUUUCUUCUGGCUUUUUAAUUUUGUUUUUUUAGAGACAAAGAUGAAACCAGAUAGGAAAUAUAGUUUCUAUGUUUUCUACUUAUUACAAUAUUAGUUUCUUCUAAAUAUUACUUUAUUUGUAUUUCACUAAGUUCAAAAGCAAAAAUUGGAUAUCUGAGAUGAACAAUUUUGAAUGGGUUAAGGUAGGAGUAAUAAGCAUUGUGUUCUCUCAUAUAUAGGUAAGGGAAUUUUAUUUAUAGUGAGAAAUAUAAAAGUACUUUGACAUACUGUUUUUUCAAGGAGUCUCUAGAAAAGGGUAGAAGAACUGAGAAUGAGACAUCUAGAUUCCAUUUCUGGUUUAUAUGUAGCUCUUUUGCCUAAUUUAUAUAUAAUUUUGUCACAAGAUAAGUCCAGUAACUAUCCUGUCUUAGAUAAUCUGCAGAGGCUGAAGUGACCAAAGAUCCAUUCCUUAUUACUUUUCUAAUUAAAAGAAGAGAUAGCUAGAUUUCUAGUAAUAUUAUUCUAGAUAUUGAUAAGACACUGUUCCUAAUGCCAACUACAAAUAUUCAGUUACUCAGAAUGUAUUUAAAAAAUUGUUUGGUACAGCAUUAAUGUUGGUGAUUCCUUUCUCCCAUCUUAUUUCCCUUCCCUUCUAUUCUUUCCCAUGUAUUUCUUUUGCCUAAAAGAACAUUGGUAUGAUUCUCAUUUGCUACUUUGAGUAUAUAACUCCAUCAGACUUUCCAGAGUUCUUCAGGGAUGGAGCUCAAAGUUCACAUUUUUCCAUAAAUGUCUUUUUUUUUUCUUGACCUUUUUCCACCCUGUAAUUUCCCCUUGACUUACCCACUGCCCUCCCCAAUCUGCAAAAGUGACAGUUUGCUGCCUCAAAACAGAGCAUUCAAAUGAAUUCGCUUAGCCAAUAACUUCUGUGAAGUUGCCUUUUCUAAUGGUGUUAUUACUCAGUGAUGCACAAAUGUGGUAUUUGCCCUACUGGUAGGCAAACAAAGGUCUGGUUAAGAAUGGUAACCUGCUGUUUUCUUUAAAGGAGAGCCAAAGACUUGUGCUUUACUCUGUUUUGGUUUUGGGGGAAGUAGUAGCCAUUUUGAUCAUGAAACGUUUUAGUAUUUGUGAGUUGGUUGUACUGUGUAAGUAGAUUUAUCUAAAGUUAACUGUUAAAGUUAGCUAGCCUUAUAAGAUGUAAAAGUAAUGAAAAUUCAUCAGUUUCUCUAAGCCAGUGAAUGUCAUCUUUUAUAAUGUUGUGUAUAAGCAUUUGUGCCCACCCCAGCUUCUGCUAUCACUGUGGUCAAGUCAUGGGUCUGGGUAAAGGAAUUCUAGAGUAUGUGACUGGUGAGAAAAAACUAACUAUAGUCAGUACAUGUACAGAUUGUUAAAAUUCAAGAAAAAAUAUUUUCACUUAAAAAAAGGAUCCGUCUCAGUAAAGAAGUAUUUAGUUGCUGUCACUUAUAUGCAAAUCGUGGUGGGUAGCAGUCUCACCAUUUUUCUACUCUCUUUUUGCUCGUUUUAAGUAAUUGAGUAAAAGUUUUAUUUGUAAAAUCUAUCUGUAAAAAAGCACUUGUAACGAUUUUAUAUGUCAUUGAAAGGAAUGGCCCAGUUACUUUUUAGGAGAGAUUAAUAACCUACCUGGAAAUUAACUACAGUGUUUACUUAGAUUUUUUCCCCCUAAAAAGAGUCUAAGUGUGUUAAAUUUUUAAUUGGUGAUAUGGUUACAGUGUUGCAAGGUGAUCUCUUCCCCUGAAAAAUCUGCCUAUCCUUUAGAGCUACUAAACUAAAGCAAAUUUUACUUUCAUCAUUAGCACCUGAACAAGCAAGCAAUCUACUACUGUCAUCAUUUUACCUGAGUGCCCAUUUUGCUGAUCCACAUUCAUACCUUUCUACCUGCGACAGCUAUGAUUUUUAUAUUUAUUUGUUGCUUCAGCUCAGGUUUAUGAAAUUUUCCUGCUGAAAUGACUUAUUGGGAGUUGUAGGUUGAUUAUAGUUACUAUUAAACAUUUUCUCAAUUUAGCUUUUCUGAGCCACUUCAAAAAGAAAGCUGUUUUUGUCAAAAGGUACUAUAAUUGUAGCAAGUAAAUCUUAAGAUUUGAAUUUUUAAGAUUUUAUUUCUGUGCUCACUAAAGAUCUUUUCACAAGUAAUAGAUUAUAAUUGAUAAGUAAUACUAGCUAUAGUGUUAAUAAAGAAUAAGACUGUCACCACCAGGAAUAAGUAACACCAUUUAGUAAUCUAUUCCUAAUAGGUAUGUUUUCAAUACUGCACUGAACAAAGUGGGUAAAGAGCCCUUUGAAAUCCUUUUGUAAUAAAGGGAUUUACCUCACCACUGGAAUCCUUGUUUUCAGAGCCUCUGGAUUUUCAGCCAAACACUGAACUCUCCUAAACUUUAUCCCUGAACAAAACAUCCCUAGAGAACAAACUUUAUUUUCACAAGAAAAUAAGGCACAAUAAGGGGGAAGAACUUAAACCUCAAGAUAAUAUUGUGUCCAAAAAUGUGUAUUUAGAAAAAUAAAAUCCUGUGGAGUUUGUUAUCCUAAUGUUUAUUUUAUACUAGAUAAGGUGACUUGUUUUCUUGUAUUGAGGUCUUACUGUUUCAGAUUUGUUUUUGUUUCUGUUCUAACUCUAAGCAGACAGAGCUCACAAGUCUUUGGCAUCCAUUUUAGGUUGUACACGCAGAGUCAUCUUAUAACUGGAAACUGUCAGGUGGUCCCCCACCCCAGUGAGUGUAUGAAAGGGUCAAGAAAAAGAUUGGAAACAAACUAUUGGGGGAAUAAUUGGUUGCUUUAUUAUUAAUUUUUUUUUUUGCCUGUUUUUUUUGUGUGUGUGUAAUCACCAUUUAUUUGUGAAAUCUUUCUCCAGUGAUUGGCUGUCAUUCUCAUAAUAUCUGAACUACCCCAUAAAAUAGUUCUCUGAUUUAAAAGCAUUUAGCUUUUGCUUAUUGUUUUUACAUCCUCUAUUCAACUAAGACGCUGUCCUGAGAAUUAUUUUUUCCAGAUGGAUCGUUGGCCUGAAUUUUCACACUUCACCCCUGUUCAUCCUUUUUCCUCUUCCUGCUUCCUGGGAAUAAAAGGAACUUUUUUUUUUUUUAAUUAAUUAGUCCACGGGCCUCAUUAUCUUUCUUUAUGAUUAAUCUAUGACUUUUGGGUACAAGAACAAUGGAAAAAGUGAAUUAAGGUAAUGAACAAAACCUUUCACCCACUUAAACAUUUUCCAGUUUUGAGAUUCCUCUUUGUGUGUGUGGUCUCUUCCCCUUGUCACCCCUUCUGCCCUUUUUCUCUGACUAUGGUAAUUUGGUCUUUAGGCUCAUACCAGUCUCCCCGAGACAUUCUGCAGUCAUUAUCACCUUUUUGGGUGGAUUUUAUUUUGUUUUAUUUUGUUUUUUUUAAAAAAAAUAACUUUUUAACAUUGGUGCAUAUUUGCUUGGGAUAGAGCUUGUGUAAUUUACCAAUCGUAUUGAUUGUAAGUGAUUGUGCCCUGCAGAGGUAUAUUUAACAAGACAAAAAUAAUCUUGGUUAAUAAAGGAGCCCAUGAGAUUUGAGUCAGGUUAUAAGUGACUUUAUGAAAUCACUUACAGUUUUGGAUAGACUUUAAAUCUCCUUAUAAAUCAGUGGUAGAUAUACCAUUUUUUAAAGUUUUCUUACAUUUUUUGUUUUUUAUUGCCGCACCUCCCUAUUCUUUCUUGCCUGCCUCCACCCACCUGUUUGGGGGAAAAAAAAAAAUUGAGCCUUAAAGUGACAGCUGAUUUUAUAAUUGCUGAAUUUUGUGAAAUUUUACUUUUUCCAAGUGUUUCCAACUUAGAGAAGUGAAGACAAAUAGGUUGGAAUGGUGAAGACAAAUGGAUUGGAAUUUCACAAGCUGCGAAUAAUUCCUUAGGAUCUGGCAAACUGUGAAGUCUUAUUUGAAGACCUUAUCUCCUGAGAGUUCUUUUGGAGUAGGAAAAAGAACCCUAUUUGAAAUAGACCAUUUUUCUCUUGUUUUUAAUCUGUUUAAUAUUUCUGAUUUUUAAGCAGCUUUCAAAACAAGUGUGGUGGAAAAAAAGAAAUAGUAGGAAGAUGUUUAGGGUAGCAGAACUCUGGGUCUAAAUAAGUACAUGUUCCCACUUGUUGCUGAUUUUUGAGAGUACUAGGGCCAUUUUUUUCCAAUUUUGUAUUAUUUGUUUGCAUGUUUAUAUCAAAGAUGCCCAUUUUGUUAAAAUGCUAUUUCCUUUCUUUAUUACCUGAAACUGACUCAGCCUCAUGUUGCUCCUAAUUAGUGUUUAAGGCUCCCAUGAGUUGCAGAUAAAAGGAUUUAUUUUAACAAGUAGAAGGAGGUGAUUCACCUUUUGGAUUGUAAAUAUAUGAAAGUGUCUACAAGGUCUUUAUCUGCUUUCUGUCAGCAUUUAUAUUAAAUGAUA
ensembl:lncRNA